rnacentral:snRNA from 2 species
GUGUUCUCUUGGGCAGCACAUAUACUAAAAUUGGAACAAUACUGAGAAGAUUAAUGUGGCCCUGCACAAGGAUAAAUACAAACUUCUGAAGCAUUCCAUUUUUUUUU